rnacentral:rRNA from 1 species
UACGGGGGGAGCAAGCGUUGUUCGGAUUUACCGGGCGUAAAGGGCGGGUAGGCGGCCACCGCAAGUCAGUUGUGAAAUCUCCGGGCUUAACCCGGAAAGGUCAACUGAUACUGCGGGGCUAGAGUGCAGAAGGGGCAACUGGAGUUCUCGGUGUAGCGGUGAAAUGCGUAGAUAUCGAGAGGAACACCUGCGGCGAAGGCGGGUUGCUGGGCUGACACUGACGCUGAACUGCGAAAGCUAGGGGAGCGAACGGG